rnacentral:rRNA from 1 species
AGUGAACGCUGGCGGUAGGCCUAACACAUGCAAGUCGAACGGCAGCACAGUAAGAGCUUGCUCUUACGGGUGGCGAGUGGCGGACGGGUGAGGAAUACAUCGGAAUCUACUUUUUCGUGGGGGAUAACGUAGGGAAACUUACGCUAAUACCGCAUACGACCUACGGGUGAAAGCAGGGGAUCUUCGGACCUUGCGCGUUUGAAUGAGCCGAUGUCGGAUUAGCUAGUUGGCGGGGUAAAGGCCCACCAAGGCGACGAUCCGUAGCUGGUCUGAGAGGAUGAUCAGCCACACUGGAACUGAGACACGGUCCAGACUCCUACGGGAGGCAGCAGUGGGGAAUAUUGCACAAUGGGCGCAAGCCUGAUCCAGCCAUACCGCGUGAGUGAAGAAGGCCUUCGGGUUGUAAAGCCCUGUUGUUGGGAAAGAAAAGCAGCAGGUUAAUACCCCGCUGUUCUGACGGUACCCAAAGAAUAAGCACCGGCUAACUUCGUG